UACAGAGGGUGCAAGCGUUAAUCGGAAUGACUGGGCGUAAAGGGCGCGUAGGCGGUUUGACAAGUGCGUUGUUAAAGACUCGGGCUUAACCUGGGUAUGUCAAUGUAUACUGUUAGACUUGAGUGAGAGAGAGGUUAUAGGAAUUUCCGGAGGAGCGGUGAAAUGCGUAGAUUUCGGAAGGAACAUCAGUGGCGAAGGCG
rnacentral:rRNA from 1 species